GAUGAACGCUGGCGGCGUGCCUAAUACAUGCAAGUCGAGCGAACGGACGAGAAUCUUGCUUCUGUUAUGUUAGCGGCGGACGGGUGAGUAACACGUUGAUAACCUAUCUAUAAGACUGGGAUAACUUCGGGAAACCUGAACUAAUACCUGAGAAUAUUUUGAACCUCAUGGUUCAAAAGUGAAAGACGGUCUUGCUGUUACUUAUACGUGUAACCUCGCUGCAUUAGCUAGUUGGUAAGGUAACGGCUUACCAAGGCAACGAUGCAUAGCCGACCUGAGAGGGUGAUCGGCCACACUGGAACUGAGACACGGUCAAGACUCCUACGGGAGGCAGCAGUAGGGAAUCUUCCGCAAUGGGCGAAAGCCUGACGGAGCAACGCCGCGUGAGUGAUGAAGGUCUUCGGAUCGUAAAACUCUGUUAUUAGGGAAGAACAUAUGUGUAAGUAGAUGUGGACAUCUUGACGGUACCUACUCAGAAAGCCACGGCUAACUACGUG
rnacentral:rRNA from 1 species